GACGAACGCUGGCGGCGUGCCUAAUACAUGCAAGUAGAACGCUGAAGGAGGAGCUUGCUUCUCUGGAUGAGUUGCGAACGGGUGAGUAACGCGUAGGUAACCUGCCUGGUAGCGGGGGAUAACUAUUGGAAACGAUAGCUAAUACCGCAUAAUAGUAGAUGUUGCAUGACAUUGGCUUAAAAGGUGCAAUUGCAUUACUACCAGAUGGACCUGCGUUGUAUUAGCUAGUGGGUGGGGUUACGGCUCACCAAGGCGACGAGACAUAUCCGACCUGGGAGGGGGGUCGGCCACACUGGGACUGGGACACGGCCCAUACUCCUGCGGGAGGCAGCAGUCGGGAAUCGUCGGCAAUGGACGGAAGUAUGACCGAGCAGGGCCGCGUGAGUGAAGGAGGUUUCCGGAUCGUGAAGCUCUGUUGUAGGUUGAGAACGGGUGUGAGCGUGGAAAGAUCACUCUGUGACGGUAUCUUACCAGAAAGGGACGGCUAACUACGUG
rnacentral:rRNA from 1 species